UGGAGAUCCAUUAAAACACAGAUCGGUUAAGGCAGCGCAUUGAGAAACACGCAGACACACGUCAACGGUGUACCUCCACUCCAUGAAUCCUCCGGAUCCCAGCGACCAAAAUUACAGAUAAGCGGUUAUGAAUACGGUCCAGUUACUCUGCUACAUUGGACACAGUCUGCAAUGACGGGACACGCUGUUUAACAGGGUGACAGCGGUGCAAUCCUGAAGGAUCCCCAUGCACUCAGCCCGAUGGAGUUUACCUGGAUCUCUGCAUGUCCAGAGCGGAGCUAGCGAUCUGUCCGCCCUCCAUGCAGCAGUAGCUCUGGGCGGCUUGCCUGGAGA